rnacentral:rRNA from 1 species
AUUGAACGCUGGCGGCAGGCCUAACACAUGCAAGUCGAACGAGUGGCGGACGGGUGAGUAAUGUCUGGGAAACUGCCUGGUGGCGGGGGAUAACUACUGGAAACGGUGGCUAAUACCGCAUACCAUCAGAUGUGCCCAGAUGGGAUUAGCUAGUUGGUGGGGUAACGGCUCACCAAGGCAACGAUCCCUAGCUGGUCUGAGAGGAUGACCAGCCACACUGGAACUGAGACACGGUCCAGACGCCUACGGGAGGCAGCAGUGGGGAAUUUUGCACAAUGGGCGAAAGCCUGAUGCAGCCAUGCCGCGUGUAUGAAGAAGGCCUUCGGGUUGUAAAGUACUUUCAGCGGGGAGGCGGUACCCGCAGAAUAAGCACUGGCUAACUCCGUGCCAGCCGCCGCGGUAAUAC